rnacentral:rRNA from 1 species
UACAGAGGGGGCCAGCGUUUAUUCGGAAUUAUUGGGCGUAAAGGGCGCGUAGGCGGCCAUGCGUGUCUUCCGUGAAAUCCCUCGGCUUAACUGAGGACGUGCGGAAGAAACUGCAAGGCUCGAGUCCGGGAGAGGAGGGUGGAAUUCCCAGUGUAGCGGUGAAAUGCGUAGAUAUCGAGAGGAACACCCUGCGGCGAAGGCGGGUUGCUGGGCCGACA